rnacentral:rRNA from 1 species
ACUCCUACGGGAGGCAGCAGUGGGGAAUUUUGGACAAUGGGGGCAACCCUGAUCCAGCCAUGCCGCGUGCGGGAAGAAGGCCUUCGGGUUGUAAACCGCUUUUGUCAGGGAAGAAAUCCUUUGGGCUAAUAACUCGGAGGGAUGACGGUACCUGAAGAAUAAGCACCGGCUAACUACGUGCCAGCAGCCGCGGUAAUACGUAGGGUGCAAGCGUUAAUCGGAAUUACUGGGCGUAAAGCGUGCGCAGGCGGUUAUGCAAGACAGAUGUGAAAUCCCCGGGCUCAACCUGGGAACUGCAUUUGUGACUGCAUGGCUAGAGUACGGUAGAGGGGGAUGGAAUUCCGCGUGUAGCAGUGAAAUGCGUAGAUAUGCGGAGGAACACCGAUGGCGAAGGCAAUCCCCUGGACCUGUACUGACGCCCAUGCACGAAAGCGUGGGGAGCAAACAGGAUUAGAUACCCUGGUAGUCCACGCCCUAAACGAUGUCAACUGGUUGUUGGGAGGGUUUCUUCUCAGUAACGUAGCUAACGCGUGAAGUUGACCGCCUGGGGAGUACGGCCGCAAGGUUGAAACCCAAAGGAAUUGACGGGGACCCGCACAAGCGGUGGAUGAUGUGGUUUAAUUCGAUGCAACGCGAAAAACCUUACCUACCCUUGACAUGUCAGGAAUUCUGCAGAGAUGCGGAAGUGCUCGAAAGAGAACCUGAACACAGGUGCUGCAUGGCCGUCGUCAGCUCGUGCCGUGAGAUGUUGGGUUAAGUCCCGCAACGAGCGCAACCCUUGUCAUUAGUUGCUACGAAAGGGCACUCUAAUGAGACUGCCGGUGACAAACCGGAGGAAGGUGGGGAUGACGUCAAGUCCUCAUGGCCCUUAUGGGUAGGGCUUCACACGUCAUACAAUGGUACAUACAGAGGGGCCGCCAACCCGCGAGGGGGAGCUAAUCCCAGAAAGUGUAUC